rnacentral:rRNA from 1 species
GACGUACCGUCCAAACGUUAUUCGGAAUUACUGGGCUUAAAGGGUGCGUAGGCGGUCCGGUAAGUUGGGUGUGAAAGACCUCGGCCUAACCGAGGAAUUGCGCCCAAAACUGUCGGACUCGAGCAAGGCAGAGGUGAACGGAACUUAGGGUGGAGCGGUGAAAUGCGUUGAUAUCCUAAGGAACACCAGUAGCGAAAGCGGUUCACUGGGCCUUUUCUGACGCUGAUGCACGAAAGCCAGGGGAG